GGGUGCUAUCAUACCAGCGUUAAUGCAUCGGAUCCCAUCAGAACUCUACAGUUAAGCCGAGGUGGCAGGAGCGGGAGGGGUCAUCAUUUGCCCACGAUGAAAUCAAGCACUCU
rfam:Picea glauca, whole genome shotgun sequence.